UACGUAGGGGGCUAGCGUUGUCCGGAAUCAUUGGGCGUAAAGCGCGUGUAGGCGGUCCGGUAAGUCCGCUGUGAAAGUCGGGGGCUCAACCCUCGGAUGCCGGUGGAUACUGUCGGGCUUGAGUACGGAAGAGGCGAGUGGAAUUCCCAGUGUAGAGGUGAAAUUCGUAGAUAUUGGGAAGAACACCGGUGGCGAAGGCGGCUCUCUGGACCGUAACUGACGCUGAGGCGCGAAAGCGUGGGGAGCAAACAGG
rnacentral:rRNA from 1 species